UACAGAGGUGGCAAGCGUUGUUCGGAAUUACUGGGCGUAAAGGGCGCGUAGGCGGCCAUCUAAGUCAGACGUGAAAUCCCCCGGCUUAACCUGGGAACUGCGUCUGAUACUGGACGGCUUGAGUAUGGGAGAGGGAUGUAGAAUUCCAGGUGUAGCGGUGAAAUGCGUAGAUAUCUGGAGGAAUACCGGUGGCGAAGGCGGCAUCCUGGACCAUUACUGACGCUGAGGAGCGAAAGCGUGGGAGCGAACAGG
rnacentral:rRNA from 1 species